UCCAAUCUGUCAGAACACCGUCGAAUUCCUCGUAGUCACCACACCUUUGUGAUUCCUGAACCUGGAGGGGCGCAAAACCAAAAUUGAGUGGGUCAGUAAAACAAUUCUUUUCCAAAUCCAAACAUUUCUCAAAACGUUGUAACCCCUCUCCGUAAAACCUGUAUACUUUCCCAGAAAUGUAAAAUAUAAAUAUACAUAUAUAUUCUCAAACUUCAUUUUUACUAUCUCAACAUUUUUCUUUAUCAAUCAUGCCAUGCCAUGUCAUCUCAACAUUUCUCAUAUUAAUUAUGCCAUGCCACAUCAUCUCAACAGUAAUAAGGUAUGAAUGCAUCAACAUAAUCAUAUCAGGUGCAAGAAAGUAAUCAACCGUAGGCCCUCUAAUAGCCCUAUACGGUUGAACCUAGAGCUCAAAAUCUAUCAUUAUCACUCUACCGGAGUCACCUCUGUGACCCGUCCGGCCUUCUGCACACAAGUUACGCUCUAGUGCUUCUCAUAAAUCAUCUGUGCACAUAAUCUAAGGUCACCCACCAGUCGGAAUCUCACUAACACUCUCGCGACUGGUCUGUCGUACCCACUCCGCGUGGACUGUACGACUAGCAUCUACUUGGAUCCAAGGCGAGCGUGCGAUGCGGUGAAUACUAUAAGCACUAAACCAUGGUGCAGGAUUUGAGCUCAAUAUAUAUCAUCAUCAUCAUAACAGUAAUUAAAUAUUCAUCUGUGCGUCCACCGCACCAUUUCAUACAUAUGCAUCAUAAAUCAAUUCUUACCUGUGCGUCCACCGCACCAAUUCAUACAUAUGCAUCAUAUAUUAAUUCAUGCAUGGCAUUUCAACUCACAUUUCUAUAUACUUUUCAUAUCAAUUCUAUGCAUGGUAUUUCACUUCCCGUUUUUCCACAUAACUCAUAUGCAUUUCAUUUUAAACAUAAUUUCAUGCAUUUUCAAUUUCUGGGAAAACGUUAAGUAUAUAUAUAUAUAUACGGAAAACAAAACUGCCCACUCACCUGGAGUUCGUCCAACAACUCCCUAGCACCACACAUCAAGGCGUCAUGACGAUCGCCGCCUAGAAUAGUAAUCAAAUCCAGGCUCAGAAUUCAUAUCGAUAGAAUACAUAACUUAUAUAAAAUACGUCACUACGUUGAUCGAUCCGGAAGAUCUGCCACUCAGAUUUUAAAUCCAUAACUUCCAAAGGUCCACACUAUACCUCUAGGACAACAUCCUAAAAUUUCAUUACCAUCCAACGGUCGGAUCUCCGUCAAUUUCCAAAACUAAGUGACGGUUAACAUUUUAUAUUAUGGACUUACAAUUCCAAUUCCGGAAGAUCCGUAACUCGGAUUCCCAAUCCGUAAGUUCCAAUAAUCCUCAAAUAUUACGUAUUACAACGUAUCAAAGUUUGGUGACGAUCCAACGGUCGGAUCAUCAAUUCACAUUUUCACCUAAAUGUGAAAACUAUAAAACGUUAUUUGAACACCUAACCAACAAUCUUCAAUAACUUUCUCAUACGGUGUACAAUUUAGGUAUAUGAAUAUACCACAGUGAUCUACUCGACGUCACGGACGUCGACAUAUUUUUAAAAUAAUUUUAUUUUUAUUUUUUAUUUUUACUGUAGCACCUUCUUCUUCCUUGGGUCGCCGGACUGGUUUUUCCGGCGGCCGUUUUCUGGGCAGUUUUUCAAAUUGCUAUAACUUUGUCAUUUCUCAACGAAAUCAAGUGAUUCAAAAACGAAAGUUGUAGCCCUUGAAGAGACAAAGAGAAUUGUACCUUGCACAACACCUAGUUCGCCGUAGUUUGGCCGGAAACUGCCUCGAAAGCCUCGGAGGUCGCCGGAAACUGGGUAUUUUUCAAAUGAGUAUAACUUCUUCAAUACUCAACGAAAUUGAGUGAAAAAAAAAGGAAAGUUGUAGUACUUGACGAGACGAAGAGAUUGAUACCUACCUCGACUCCUAAAUCGCCGGAGAUUCGCCGGAAAAUGCCUCGAAAGCUCCGGCCAAACUUUGAACUUGUCGAUCUCCGUGUUUUUACGUCCAAAAACUUCCAACGAAGCACUCCGAGCUUCCUUGGGACCUCACUAAGCUCGCUGUGAUCUUGUUUUAGCCUAAAUCGUAACCAUUUAAAAGAUCAUGAACAGUACCAUUUCACGGGAACUUUGAAACUAGGGUUUUUCGAAGCAAAACUUACCUGAAAUUGGUGUCUACGUGAUCGUGGAAGUUCCAGGAGUCCAAAUGUGGUCUUAUCUUGGACGUUUGUUUAUGUUUUAGGUGGUUUUGGGUGAGGUUGAGCGUCGGAGAGGAAGAGAGAGAACUGAGAGUGAGAGAGAGUCGUGAGGGAAGAGAGAUAGAGAGACAAGGUACGGGAAUUGGGGAAGGUUUUGAGGGAUGUGGGGAUCCCACGUGUCCAACUCAAUCCAAAUUGUUAAAUUUUCGCCCCUUAGUCCCGUUUAAGGGCAUUUUCGUCUUUUCAUGUCCUCAGAAUUAAAAUUCCGGGACGGGCUGUGACAAUCUUCCCUCCUUAUAGAAUUUCGUCCCCGAAAUUCCAGCAACCAACUAAAUCAACCAUACUCCAACAAUAGCUUCGGGUAAAUCUUUCUCAUCCGAUUCUCUUUCUCCCACAUACUUUUCUACUGAAUGAUUUCCUUCACAAAGCUUUACUACUUACUCUGUCUUAAUUCUCAGGACCUUCUUUUUCCAAUCCAAAGUCGUCCUUGGUUCCUUAUCAAGUCGAAUCCAAUUUAAUUCUCAAUAGUUACACCAUAAUCCCAUGUGACAAAUCUGCCACCUAGUGACAACGCAUCGAACACAAAAUACAUUAUGUGCCUUAGCCAAUUCUGAAGGCAUCACAAACUUGUAUGCAGCUUCAUCGAUUCUUUUAAUGAUCAAAACGGUCUGAUGUGUUUAAAUCUUAUCUUGUCUCUUUUCCAAUUCUCUUCAUUUCUGUUCGUGGUGAAUUUUCCAAAAAUAUCAAACCAUUUACCUUACACACACUCGAUUAGUGGCAUAUCCAUCUGUUGAUCUCUUUUGCCAUUCCUGGUUACUUCAGGUUAACUUAAUCACCUGAAUACUUUGAGGAGACUCAUCCAUAGUCUCAGGGUCUACUAAAACUCUUUCUUGAUCGAAUCUUUCUCUACCCAGAAACAUUCCAUUCACAAGUCAUCAAAAACCGACUCACGUGACACAUUUCAUGGUCCUUAUGGCGUUACUUCGGAAACUGCACAACCAACAUACUUAAGAAACUUAGCAGUUCCGUAAUCCAAUUCUCUUUUCCAUAAAACAAAUAAGUAGUGUUGCACUGUCUGGGAAAGGUUGUUACUCAACACUGGGGUAAAUGUACUAACUUGUUACUUAACAAGUAUAACUUCUUCUCGAUCUUCCAUUCUUAAUUUUUCUUCCGUUGGUUUUCAAUCCACAAAAUGAUACUCUUGGCAAACGUGCCAGAUAUUAAUCUUACUGUAGUCUUCUCACCAAGUGCUUCAGCUAGAACAAACUUUACGAUCACCCUGAUCGUACAAUCAUGUUCAUUAAGCAAUACAAUUCACUUUCGCUGCCUCAUAUCAAAUUCCUUCCAAGUAAUGGAUAUUGAAGACUUUUUGGAUUCGUAAAAAAAAAUCUUGCAUUCCCACUAAAAUAUAAUGUCUCCAUAACUUCACAGCAAGAAUGGUAAUCGUGACUUCCAAAUCACCAGUAGGGUAAUUCAUCUUAUGAGAUUCCAUUUAUCGUGAAACGUAUGCAAUCACCCUAACAUUUGCAUCAACAUGCCUCCAAUACCAUUCAAGAAACAUCACUAAAAAUUUAUGAUUACCACUAUUCUCUGGGAAUACCAAAAUACGUGCAUGAGUGAGGAAAUACUUCAGUUGUUGAAUCCUUUGCUUACAAUUCCUUCCCACUCAUACCUAACCUCUUUUCUCAACAGUCUCGUCAAUGACAAAGCAAUGACUGAAAAAUCUUUCACAACCAUCCAAGAUAGCCUGGUAAGCUAAGAAAUUCCAAAUCUCAAUUACGACUCGUGGUUGUUCCAAAUUUUAAUUUCUGUUACCUUUUAAGGAUUCACUUGAAUACCUUAAGAAUAUAUAACAUAUCCCAGAAAUGCUGCUUGAUUCAUCCAACAUUCGCAUUUGCUAAACUUAGCAUACAAUCGACAUUCUUCCAAUCUUUGUUCUACCGACUUAAUACGUUUACAUGCUCUGCUCUGGCUCAGAAUAUGCCAGAAUAUCUUCAAUGAAAAUGAUAUCAAUUAUCAAGGCAUUAUUGGAAUACUUCAUCCAUCAACUCAUAAAACCGCAUGAGUAUCCACAUAGCAUCACCAAAACUUUAUAAGGACCAUAACAAGUCCAGAAACCAUCUUAUGAUCAACGUCACUUAUAAUAUUCAAUUGGUAGUAACCAGAUCUCAAUUCAAUCUUUGAAUCUUCGCAAUUACUUCUGAGCUGGUUAAAUAAACAUCAGUACAUCACCAUGGAUAACGGUUCUCAAUCGUUACCCGACUCCAUUGUCUAUAAUCAAUGAACAGUCUCAAGAUCCAUUUUCUUCCUCACCAACAAACUGGGGCUCCUCAAAAGUGUUGUACUAGGUUGAAUAAAACUUUUAUCAACCAAUUCCCUCAACUGAAUUUCCAAUUCCCUUAACUCAUCAUGAACCAAUCUCCAAUAUAAAUUUAUACCUGGCAACAAAUCAAUAGUGAACCUCAUAUCUCUGCCUGAAGGCAAUCCAGGUAUACUUUCAGGGAAGACAUCAAGAAAAGUCUAACUCUUUCGACAUUAUUCACACUACUCCAAACAACAUCAUUUAGCACCACAUGAGCUAAGUAUUUUUGACAGCCUUUCGAAAACAAUCUCUUUGCUCUCACAGCAUAAAUAAUGACUGAACUCAAUCCACUUUGCAUACUUACAAAAGUAAUCUCUGGUCAUCCAGAUCGAUGGAAAGUACUGGUUUCCCAUAACAUUUCGUCUUGUCACAAUUAUAACCAACCAAUCUAAUGGAACAGAAUUAACUGAUACAAUAUAUAUUCUAUUAUUAUUAAGCAUUCCAAAUAAGUACAAUACUAACAUAAAAUAAUCUACCGGUUUACUUACUUAACGAAUCCACGAAUGAGUUAUUAAUAUUACGGUCUGCAGCCCGCAAUACUGAUAAAUCAUCGUUGUCUCGAUAAGUAGGCAACCACUCACAAAGAUAUAACAUUACUAUUUUGUCACUCAAUGCAAAAUACAUACACUCGUCUCAACUACAUUUAUUUACUACUCUCUAGGUAAUAACAUACAUAAUAAGAAAUAUAUCAGCCGAAGUCAACUAGAAUGACCAAUACGGCUGAUUCAACUCUUAUCUCAAUAAUACGUCGGCCGGAUCCACUCCGCGUGGUCGGUACGGCCGAGCCUAUAACUCACCAAUUUCUCAUGUGUCAAUCGAAUCCACUUCUCAUGGUCUGUACGGCUGAACAUAUAACUCAUCAAAUCUCUCUGUACUCACGGUCAAUCCGACCAAACUACUAAAUCCAUAACUCUGCUGAAUCAACACUAUGAUGUCAUAGAAAACUGUUGGGUACAACUGAUUCUAGGGACGAUUCACAAUUCUGUGUCCCCUCUGUUCACAUAAACACAUUCAUUAAUUUCACACUUCCCAAAGUGUUAAUUUUGUACCUGCUGCACAAGGUACAUUUCCUUUACUCGAGACACCUUGUCUCAAAUAUCUGGGAUUACUAGUAUAUCCAUCACUUUUACUCUGACCAGCGACAUUAAAACCUCAGCUGGAAGAAUUAACUCUAGCUUCACUUCUUUCGAAGCUCUGAAUCUUUCUAUAUCCUUGAUAUGACGAAUCAUUAACUUUAUCGUCUUCUUUUAAUUCCCAUUCAUUUCUUAUUCUUCUUUAUUCUCGUUGCUCAUGUUCUCAGAGUCCUCAAGACUCAACAGCAUCUCGUAUAUUCCUGGUAAGAAGUAUAAUGGAUAGUGGUCACCCAAAAUACCACUUCCCUUUUUGCCACCCAGCUUAAAACAACAUAACACCUCCACCAAAUUAACAACAAUAUCUGGAUGGAACGAGGCAAGUCUGAAAACUUUCUAUAAUAUCCCUCGAUCAUCACCUUCCUUGUCUCAUAUUUGUAAACUCUUGUUUACUACCAUCGAUAAAUGUCGGAGGGAUAAACUUUUCCUUAAACAAGUCCUUAAACAAUUUUAAAUCGGCUGAUUCCUCUGGUGACAACAAUUAAUACUCCUGCUUCCAUCAGGAUACACGUUCAUAACUCAAACCAGGUAGUCAUCUCGACCCCUUGUCAGAAGGAAGAUUCCUUUGACUUGCAUAAUCCGAAACAUCUUUUCCAAAUGGUUAAACCGUUACUUCGCUCCCUCAGGUUCAUCAUUUCUCUUAAGUGAUUCAAAUUCAACUCAUAACCCGUCUUAAAAUGUCCAUUUUUCUAAUAUACUGAAUCACCAUAAGAAUAGUUUCCCCUAACCCGCUAAAUCAGGGAGACUAAGUUCCUCUAACUACGUGGUUUGCUACGAGGCGGUGUAGUUCUGACAGAAUUCACUAGAAACUUCUCAAGAUGUCCAAGAUUGCAACCAUGCUCUGAUACCAACUGACACACCCCGUCCCGAAGGAGGGCAUGUUGGCCGUCACGUGAGAGUGACGUAACCAUUUGCACAGUACGGAAGCUUUAAGAUACAAUUUAAAUUGAUACACCCGAAGGUGAGUCCUAAUUUUGUCCAAUCUGUCAGAACACCGUCGAAUUCCUCGUAGUCACCACACCUUUGUGAUUCCUGAACCUGGAGGGGGCGCAAAACCAAAAUUGAGUGGGUCAGUAAAACAAUUCUUUUUCCAAAUCCAAACAUUUCUCAAAACGUUGUAACCCCUCUCCGUAAAACCUGUAUACUUUCCCAGAAAUGUAAAAUAUAAAUAUACAUAUAUAUUCUCAAACUUCAUUUUUACUAUCUCAACAUUUUUCUUUAUCAAUCAUGCCAUGCCAUGUCAUCUCAACAUUUCUCAUAUUAAUUAUGCCAUGCCACAUCAUCUCAACAGUAAUAAGGUAUGAAUGCAUCAACAUAAUCAUAUCAGGUGCAAGAAAGUAAUCAACCGUAGGCCCUCUAAUAGCCCUAUACGGUUGAACCUAGAGCUCAAAAUCUAUCAUUAUCACUCUACCGGAGUCACCUCUGUGACCCGUCCGGCCUUCUGCACACAAGUUACGCUCUAGUGCUUCUCAUAAAUCAUCUGUGCACAUAAUCUAAGGUCAC
rnacentral:lncRNA from 1 species